ACGGAGUGGUAUACGGAGUAGCGGACGGGUGAGUAAAGCAUGAGAAUCUGUCCUGUCGAGGGGGAUAACGUUCGGAAACGGACCCUAAUACCCCAUAGUCCGAGAGGUUAAAGGCAGCGAUGCGCGGCAGGAGGAGCUCGUGUCCUAUCAGCUAGUUGGUGAGGUAACGGCUCACCAAGGCUUCGACGGGUAGCCGGCCUGAGAGGGUGACCGGCCACACUGGAACUGAGACACGGUCCAGACUCC
rnacentral:rRNA from 1 species